UACGGAGGGUGCAAGCGUUGUCCGGAUUUAUUGGGUUUAAAGGGUGCGUAGGCGGCCCUGUAAGUCAGUGGUGAAAUACUGCAGCUUAACUGUAGCAUUGCCAUUGAUACUGCAGGGCUUGAGUACAGAUGAGGUAGGCGGAAUUGAUGGUGUAGCGGUGAAAUGCAUAGAUACCAUCAAGAACACCGAUUGCGAAGGCAGCUUACUAAGCUGUAACUGACGCUGAGGCACGAAAGCGUGGGGAGCAAACAGG
rnacentral:rRNA from 1 species